AUGGCGGUGAGUGCCACGACGGGGGUGAUGAACCCACUCCUUGGCAAGCUCACCAAGCUGCUCGACGAGGAGUACAAGAAGUUCACGGGGGUGAGGAAGCAGGUCUUCAUCCUAAAGGAUGAGCUCAGCGCCAUGAAAGCUCUCCUUGACAAGAUGGAGCUUAUGGAUAAGCUCGAUUCAUCUGCCAAGGACUGGAGGGAACAUAUCAGGGAUAUGACCUAUGAUAUGGAUAACUGCAUUGAUGACUUCAUGCAUGACAUUGAAUGUGCCCAUGGAAAGAAAGGCUUUGUCAGGAAGAUGGCUCAACGUCUCAAGAGAUUGGGGAGGCGUCAUCAGAUCGCCAACCGCAUCGAGGAGCUCAAGGAUCUUGCAGUGGAGGCAAAUGCUCGGCGAGAGAGGUACAAGAUUGAUGAUUGCAUCAAUUCGAGUCAUGACAUUGUGCUUGUGGAUCCCCGAAUGACGGCAAUCUACAAGGAGGCAGCAAGCCUUGUUGGGAUUGAUGGCCCGAGAGAAGAGCUGGUCAGCUUGUUGAUGGAUUCCCACAAGAAACUCAAAGUGGUUUCCAUCGUGGGGUUUGGAGGCUUGGGUAAAACUACACUUGCCAAACAAGUGUAUGAUGAAAUUGGAGGACGGUUUAACUGUAAGGCAUUUGUCUCAGUCUCCCAAAGACCAGAUAUGAAAAGCCUUCUCGAUGGACUACAAUUCAAGCUUGGGAUGGAGGAAUCCUCUCAUGCUCACGAGCUCCAAGACUUCAUUGACGGGCUUCGAGAAUACCUCAAAGAUAAGAGGUACUUUAUUGUAGUUGAUGACUUGUGGGAUCAGCCAACAUGGAAUAUUCUUAGUUGUGCCUUUUCGGAUUAUUGUAAUGGAAGUGGAGUAAUGAUAACCACACGAUUGGACGACGUGGCUCUCAGAGCAUGUCAGAAUGACCAUUCCUGCAUUUACAAAAUGAAGCCCCUCAAAGAGCAAGACUCAAGAAGAUUAUUUCUUAAUAGAGUAUUUGGGUCUCAAAAUGUUUGCCCACCACAGUUUAAAGAAAUUUUGGUUGAAAUUCUCAAGAAGUGUGGUGGAUUGCCCCUUGCAAUUAUCACGAUAGCUAGCCUAUUAGCUAGCCAUGAGGAAAGAUUGUUGAAUGAAAUGGGAAAGGAUAAAGAAUUCUCUUGGUGCCAAGUUUUCCACAAAACCCACCUUAGAAGAGAUGAGGGGCAUACUAAACCUUAG
rnacentral:rRNA from 1 species